GAAGGCAAUGAUGUAAAUAAUCUUAUCGUACACACUGAAUUUUGAUGUAGAUUGAAACUCCGCUUAUUAUCUGAUGCCUUC